GGUGGUAUAGUUCAGUGGUAGAGCAUGUGCUUAGCAUGCACAAGGUCCUGGGUUCAAUUCCCAGUACCUCUG
rnacentral:tRNA from 1 species